rnacentral:rRNA from 1 species
UACAGAGGUGGCAAGCGUUGUUCGGAAUUACUGGGCGUAAAGGGCGCGUAGGCGGCCUGCUAAGUCAGACGUGAAAUCCCCCGGCUCAACCUGGGAACUGCGUCUGAUACUGGUGGGCUUGAAUGCGGGAGAGGGAUGCAGAAUUCCAGGUGUAGCGGUGAAAUGCGUAGAUAUCUGGAGGAAUACCGGUGGCGAAGGCGGCAUCCUGGACCGACAUUGACGCUGAGGCGCGAAAGCUAGGGUAGCAAAC